rnacentral:rRNA from 1 species
CCUGAGAAACCCAAAAGAUCGAAUGGGGAGAUUCAUCGUCAGCUCAUUUUGUAUAUAUAUGAGUUACGAUGCGGGUUACUACUUGUAGUAUUGCCUGCACGUUCUUGUAUAUUUAGUUGCAAAAUGUUGUCGUCGUGCACUUCUCCCCUAGUAGAACGUCGCGACCCGUUGUGUGUCGGUCUACGGCCCAAGUGGAAGCCUUUAAUAUUUUAUUAUAUUAAAGACCCUUGGUGUUUCCUGACCGGCUACUCGGCGGUAUUCGUACGGUAUUAAGCCGCAUAAUUUUUUAUGCGUUCAUAUCCGUCGCAAGCGCGGUCAAUUUCUAGUAGUACGGACCUAGUGCCGUCGCUGGUAUUGACCAGCUGUUGGUUGUACGGUAUUCUAGAACUGGCUAAUUUUUACCGGUCGGCGAUGCUACUGCUUUGGGUACUUUCAGGACCCGUCUUGAAACACGGACCAAGGAGUCUAACAUGUACGCGAGUCAUUGGGAUUUUUUUAAAAUUAAACCUAAAGGCGUAAUGAAAGUAAAGAUCGUCCUUGCGUCGAUCGAGGGAGGAUGAGUUGUUUUACGAUACAGCUCCGCACUCCUGGGGCGUCUCAUUCUUAUUACAAGAAGAGGCGCACCUAG